UUUGGGUAGUACUUGGAUGGUAGACCGCCUGGGCAAUACCAGGUGCUGUAAGCCGUUUC
rnacentral:rRNA from 1 species